GGAUCGACAGCUCAAUGGUAAGAGUACCUGCCUUUGCAAUGCAGAAGGUCCCAGGUUCAACCCCUGACAUCUCCA